UUCACGUGUCAUGCUAUGUUUGUGUGAUUUUGUUUUGCGGUGUUAAAUUGGAAGAUCAUACAGCGACUACUUUCCUGAGGAUAAUAAUGCUCAGUGACUAAAAAGUAUUAUCUGAUCAUUGCAUGUUUAUGAUUUGAUUUUCUCGAUUGGCGGAAUAGAAUUCAUCUACGGAUGAUCCAAGAGGGCGUGAGUCAAAUAAAAUGCUUGAGGACGUGGCUGAAUAGCCACCUCUAAGGAACCCUGUCAAACUUGAAAGGGAAUGGAGAGGAGAUGUGAGAGAGGGGAUCAAUGAUUUUCGAUCCCUUUAGGAGGACUGGAAGCAAAAAACAGAUGGUUGGGAGUAGCGAACAACCUUGGUUUGGUGUUGAUUGGUGAGAAAAAAGGCAUGUUACCCCUGUCGAAGAUCUUUUCCCCUGUAAGAGAUCAAGACUAGCAUGGCUAAGGGCUUCAAAAAGCUAGAAGUCUCCACCGCCAUUACCAUGAGAACCAAAUGGAAAAAGAAGUAUAUGGGGAGAUUAAAGGGAGCGUAGAAAGAUAUGGCAGAGGUUUAAGUACAUUUUCGAUUGUGGUCUUAUUUUUUUAGCCUGUUUUAAAUCAAACGGUGGAUUAUAUAGUUUUCUCUUAUGUUUGAUUAAUCAAAUGGUGGGUUUUAUCUAGGCAUUUGCAAUCUAAAUCUGAUUUAUAAUAUGUUCUACCUUUUCCUUUGAUCCGUGAGAGAAAAGCUUCAGUUAUUGUAACAACUUCUGUGAAUGGGCACCUUGCAGCAGUUGUUGUAACAACUUCUGUAAAUGGGCACUUUGCAGCAGUUGAUGAUGCUGUUUUUUAACGAAGCUUGAUGUUGAAAGAGGUUUUGGGGAUAAACAUGGCAUGCUGUCAUCUCAAGAAUCAAGAACUUUUGUAAAUCUUGGUGUUGUGCUUAAUAUUUCCAUGAUUGGUCAUGAAUCUGAUAAGGUUUCUUUUGAUUUCUUUGUUUGGAGUGGAAAAUAUGUGGAAUGCUUGCUUCUCGUGAGUUAGAAAAAUGGGCAGAGAGGGUGCAGUCACUUGUGGAAAGUUUUUUUUUUAUUUCUUUGAUAUUUUUUUUUCAUUGUCUUAUGUUGGUUUUAGAUUAUUUCUCUUCUAACUUUUUGCUUUCUUUUUUCCCUUUGUCAUGCAUGUUUCUUUUCGGAUGCUUGGGAGGGGGUUGUGAUUUGGUUUAUUUUUUUUUUAGGAAGGUCUCCUUCCUUCAUUGAUUCAGGCUUUGUUACCGUGUUUUUGAGUUCUGGUCGUGAUUCAAGUAUAAUUAGAAAAUUCCUUUUUAUCACUUUUUUAUGGGUUUUUUUUCCUAGUUAAAAUCUAUUAUCUUAACUGAUUGGUUCAUGGGCUUAGAAAGAGGUGGGUAGAAGUUGGCUUUGAUUUUGGGUUCUGGGAUUCUAUUUUUUGGGAAAGCCUUUAUUAUUUUUUUAUCUGAUGUGCUUAUCUCAGGGGAAAAAAAAGGUUAGAGGUUGAGUUUUAGCGGGAUUAGUUCUAGCUUUGGCUAGUUGUCUCCUUUUUCAUAUAUGUGUUUUGUUUGUGAAAAAAAAACUAUGGCUUUUUUUUAGGAGUCUACAUCCUUUAUUGAUUGAGGGUUUUGUAAGAGAUAUGCUCUGAUCAUGUUUCUUCUGUUCUUUCUUUUUUUGACUGGUUAGAGUCUAUUAUCUUAAUUGGUUGGUUAAUGAAACUAGGAAGGGAUGGGUAGAGGUUAGCUUGGGUUGGGAUUUUAGGAUUACAUUAUGGGUUAGGCGGCCUUUGUCAGUUGUUGUUUGAUGUGCUUGUCUCAUUAAAAAAGUUAUAGUUUGGAUCUUAGCAGGGGGUGGCUUCCAGCCUUGGAAGGCUAUCUCCAUUCCAUGUAUGUGUGUUGUUUAAGUUCAAAAAAAUAAUAAUCUCACUAUCCUCCUACCAGCUGUUACAUAGUUAACAUAAGAGUUAAUGAAUAUAAAAUCUGAAUUCUCUGUGGAUGAUGAAGUUUGUAUAGGAUCUCAUGGCGAUUUACUGUUCACUUAUGAUCUGUCUUUUUUUUUCCCGGAGUAGGAUACGUUGCUUUGGUUUAUUUCUGGUCUUUCCAUAAGUGUUUUGGUUAUUGCGGUUGAUCUGUUUAGGUGAAGCAUUUUCCUGGCAAUUUGCUUUUGCUUAUCCCACUUUACACAGAUCAUUCUUUUUUUCCCUUACCUGUACUUCCUUUUCAAUUUCGUUGGCAUUUCUUUUAUGCCUUUUGUUGUUGUGGUGGUUCUUAUUUAUCUUUGCCAGGGAAAACUAUGCUUGGAUGGUUGUUGCUGUUUAUUCUUGCACUGUUUUUUUUUUUUCUGGGUUCAGCUUUAUUUGUUUAUGAGUCAACUUGGGGUUUUCCGCUAUUGUUUUUUUAAACGGUGCGACAUGAACGCUUUUGUAUCUUUUGCUUAAUAGAUCAACUAACAUGCAAUCAUUGUCUUUAUUGCCUUGUAUUCGAAACCUUGGCAUCUUGUGCAACUUUUUUUCUUUAGCAGCUUAUAAAGCCUAUUGUUCAUCAAUUGAAAUUUUGAACGCUGCUGUAUCAUUUGCAUUUUCUUUUGAUUUUUUUGUUGCCUUCUAUCAUUUUUCCGUUGCAUGUGCCAUUUGGUUCUUCGCAUGGUUUCUUGCUUUAUUUUUCCCUACUCUUUGGAUAUUUUUUUUCCAGUUUAGUCUUUAUGUUUACUGAUUUACAUCAGUUUUGGGAUUGUUCAACGAACUCCCUGCUCCUCCUUAAGCUUUGAAUUGAAAUCACCCAGCGACGUAUCGUUCUUUGCUGUUUUCCAACUCUGAGUGAUCUUUUUCUCCUAUAGAUUGGAAUCCUCUUUUCCAGUCAGGUCUUUUUGCAUCUUCUUUCAUGUUUGUUGCCAUUCUUAUUUCUUCAGGUUGGCUCUGCCAUUUCCCUUGACUUUGUUGUUCUUUUUUUCCUGUUUCUUAGUUUUUUCUUGCGCUUCGUCACCUUUUUCUAAUCCUCUAAAGGUUGAAUCUCUUCAUUAUUGCCUCUCUUGCUUUGGAUAGUUUUACGAGGAUUCCAAGGCUUGAAAAGAGCGUGAACAAUGACAAGCUUUUCUAGCGGUUGCUUGAAAAGAGUUGCUGCCUUUUUCUUCACUGUUUCCUCGGUAGUUGUAGGUCAAGGUACACUGACCACACAGCCUUUCCAGUGCAGAAAUGGUUUUAUCUAGAAGUUUGACUUGCGUACAACUUGUGAACCCGCACUUCCUUGCUCUGCUUCCAUCAUGACAUCCCCAUUAAAUGUUGCUCCAUUUUGUGCACUGCAUGUUCUUUAUUCUUUUUGUGCACCUCUUGCUGAAGUAGAAUAAACAUUGUUUAUGUUACUCAAAAAAAUUUAUGCUGUCUUUUUGUUUUCAUUUUAAUGCUUUAUUAUCCUUGCGUUCUUUGAA